UACGUAGGUGGCGAGCGUUGUCCGGAUUUACUGGGCGUAAAGAGCGCGCAGGCGGUCGUUCAAGUCGCGUGUGAAAGCCCCCGGCUCAACUGGGGAGGGUCACGCGAUACUGAUCGACUCGAAGGCAGGAGAGGGAAGUGGAAUUCCCGGUGUAGUGGUGAAAUGCGUAGAGAUGUGGAGGAACACCGAUGGCGAAGGCAGCCCCCUGGGUCAAAACUGACGCUCAUGCACGAAAGCGUGGGGAGCAAACAGG
rnacentral:rRNA from 1 species